UGCGUAGGUGGUUGAUUAAGUUAUCUGUGAAAUCCCUGGGCUUAACCUGGGCAGGUCAGAUGAUACUGAUUGACUCGAGUAUGGGAGAGGGUAGUGGAAUUUCCGGUGUAGCGGUGAAAUGCGUAGAGAUCGGAAGGAACACCAGUGGCGAAGGCGGCUACCUGGCCUAAUACUGACACUGAGGCACGAAAGCGUGGGGAGCAAACAGGAUUAGAUACCCUGGUAGUCCACGCUGUAAACGAUGUCAACUAGCUGUUGGUUAUAUGAAAAUAAUUAGUGGCGCAGCAAACGCGAUAAGUUGACCGCCUGGGGAGUACGGUCGCAAGAUUAAA
rnacentral:rRNA from 1 species